rnacentral:lncRNA from 1 species
AGAAGCUCAUAAAGAAACGUUCUGCAGCUCCGGCAGACGGCGCGUCCUUCGUUCCUUCAAGAUGCCAGCAAAGCCGUUUGCUUCAGCAGAGGUCCCCAUAUGGGAAAUACUGGAAGAAUUCAGUCAUUUAGCUAACUUUUUAUUAGUGGGCAUAAAAUAAGGAAACAAAAUAAACUGUCUUUCACCUGUCCUUCAAACCAACAUCUCUAGUAGCAAUGCUGAGAAGACUUUUUUUUAGAGAUUAAUAUAACAGUGAAAAGCUAAUUGACUUAAUUGUCUUGAACUGCCCCUCCCUAAAUAGGAGCUCUUGGAGGCACUGUUUCCUCAAAAAAAGAAGAGAGAAAAGCCAAGAAAAGCAAGAGACUUCUGUUCUCAGAAUUUAGUUUCCAACAGCGAUACACAGUGAUACUGUAGAGAAUGACACAGAACUGAUAGAAGCGUUAUCAGCAUGUUUUUUAGCUAUGAAAACUCCUCAGUUUCAAAACUGAAACAUUAAAGGUAAUUCAUAAGUGAAGCUGGGAUGCAGUGGAACAAUGUAUUAGGGAACUUAUGAAAGGAUUUCUACAAGUAACAGCUUAUUAUAGCUGUAGAUAGAAAGUAGGAAAGAAAAAUCCAUAUUGCUAACAAGUGGUGUGGUAGGAAAUAGGAACGUUUCUUGUUUAGGGAACAGUAGGAAAAAAUAGGAAUACAUUUCAUUUCCUAGAAUAUCUGUGCCUGAAAGAAGAAAUUCUAAAAACAACUGAAUAACAAGACAUUAUUUAACCUAUUAAUUAUUAUACAAGCAAAUUAACAAUGAUCAAAUGUUUUUAAAAAAAACAACAAAAACAAACAAAAACUAACAAAACCAGACCACCUUCAGAAAGGUUCAAAAUGUUCAAAACCAGACCACCUUCAAAUUUUAAGAUCAUAUCAAAUAAGAUUUUUUAAAAAGACAUCUGCAAAGUAAACUGAGUUUAAAGCUAAGUCACAGUAGAUGUUUGCAGAACUCCUUCUCCAGGUAAGAAUUAAGGAAAAUGUGUUUGUAGAGCUGAAUAAUUUUAUUCUUUUGACCUAUGCUCUUUUUUUUUUAGAACUACUGAAUCUUAGGUGCAUUGAAUGGGAUUAAAGUGCUGUCUGUUCAUUACAUACCACCUGAAGAAGUUUUGAUAUAGGAAGAAAAAAGACGGUCAUCUGGGUGGUAUUAAGGAACUGUUGAUAUGAUAUGAACUAAGAUUAAAAAUAUUUAAAUGAAAAUUUGAGAAGAGGAUUCAAAAGUUUCUGAAAGAAUACUCCCUGAAAUGUUUUGUGAAUCCUUUUGAGAGAGGAGGCUAUUUAUAUUGGGAAAGAGAAAACUACUUCGGAGACUGCCUUUCCAGUACAAACUAAUUAACUAGAAAUG